UACAGAGGGGGCAAGCGUUAUUCGGAAUUAUUGGGCGUAAAGGGCGCGUAGGCGGCUUGGCAAGUGGAUGGUGAAAUCCCUCGGCUUAACCGAGGAACUGCCGUCCAAACUGCUUUGCUUGAGGCCGGGAGAGGUGAGUGGAAUUCCCAGUGUAGCGGUGAAAUGCGUAGAUAUUAGGAGGAACACCAGUGGCGAAGGCGGCUCACUGGACCGGUACUGACGCUGAUGCGCGAAAGCGUGGGGAGCGAACGGG
rnacentral:rRNA from 1 species